AUGAGAACCAGAGUUACUUCCGCAGCGGACUGACAUCUGCAUCCAGAGCUCAGGAAUGACAUCUCCCCAUUUUGGGGGGCGACCGAGUCAUACCUCCACCUUUCGUUUUCUCUCCUGUGCAGCGUCAGGGCCCAGAGAAGCACAGCGCUCUGGGGCCAGGCUCAGGACGGUUUAAUCAGAUAACCCCACCAUGGAGCAAACACUUCUGCUACAGGGGGCAGUGAUCUACUGCAAACGUUUUGCUGUUUUGCGGUGCUGGUGACCUCCUUGGCAGCGUGCACCCCCACCCUUCAGCCAUCGAGACGGUCACACGCGCAGAUGUGCAAAUCACACCACCCCCA